UACAGAGGUCUCAAGCGUUGUUCGGAUUCAUUGGGCGUAAAGGGUGCGUAGGCGGCGCGGUAAGUCGGGUGUGAAAUCUCGGAGCUUAACUUCGAAACUGCAUUCAAUACUGCCGUGCUUGAGGACUGGAGAGGAGACUGGAAUUUACGGUGUAGCGGUGAAAUGCGUAGAUAUCGUAAGGAAGACCAGUGGCGAAGGCGGGUCUCUGGACAGUUCCUGACGCUGAGGCACGAAGGCCAGGGGAGCAAACGGG
rnacentral:rRNA from 1 species